GUGCUCCCUUCAGCAGCACAUUUACUAAAACUGGAAUGAUACAGGGAAGAUUAGCAUGGCUCCUGCACAAGGAUGACACACAAAAGCCAAAAGUGUGAAGCAUGCCA